CUCCAACCACUGCGGAGAGCACUGCGGGACUCACAGCCCUCCUGCUGGAGCUGCAGGCCCAGCUGUAGAUCCUCUUUCAUUCCUCUCAUCAUCACUACCUCAGCUAUAGUAGUGAGGCGCAGUAAAGAGGAAAAAGGGAUAGUAAUGAAGAAAAAGAAAAAAUAACGAAUUAUUUAUUGAGGCUUCUUCGUACUUAACAAGCCACUUGUCUCAGGCCUCUAGCUCUUGGCCACUACCACCACCAAGUGAAUAGGUCAGGACAGCAAAGACAAUUAACUGAAUAACACAGGUGAGUAAUAUAGGAGCUGUAACAGGGACAGAGUCAAAUUCCAGCUCUGUCGUUAGCUACGAGAGCUUUGUCAAUUCCUGAACUAUUCUUAGUUACUGUAAUUAAUCCCUA
rnacentral:lncRNA from 1 species